rnacentral:rRNA from 1 species
AUACGGAGGGUGCAAGCGUUAAUCGGAAUUACUGGGCGUAAAGCGUACGUAGGCGGUUCGUUAAGUUAGAUGUGAAAGCCCCGGGCUUAACCUGGGAACUGCAUUUAAAACUGGCGAACUAGAGUUGAGUAGAGGGGAGUGGAAUUUCAGGUGUAGCGGUGAAAUGCGUAGAGAUCUGAAGGAACACCAGUGGCGAAGGCGACUCCCUGGACUCAAACUGACGCUGAGGUACGAAAGCGUGGGUAGCAAACGGGAUUAGAAACCCCUGUAGUCC